rnacentral:misc_RNA from 1 species
AACGCAACUUGCGCCCUUUGGUAUUCCGAAGGGCAUGCCUGUUUGAGUGUCAUAUAAACCUCACCUCUACUGUUUUUUCAUUAGACAUGUGGACUGGUGCUUUGGGCGUCUGCCGUUUACUCUGGCUCGCCUUAAAUGUCUAAGUGGAAUGCGUAAUAAGUCUUCGCAACCCUCCACUCUAAUUCAAACUUUUAUAUUCUGACCUCAAAUCAGGUAGGACUACCCGCUGAACUUAA